AGUGAACGCUGGCGGUAGGCCUAACACAUGCAAGUCGAACGGCAGCACAGUAAGAGCUUGCUCUUACGGGUGGCGAGUGGCGGACGGGUGAGGAAUACAUCGGAAUCUACUUUUUCGUGGGGGAUAACGUAGGGAAACUUACGCUAAUACCGCAUACGACCUACGGGUGAAAGCAGGGGAUCUUCGGACCUUGCGCGAUUGAAUGAGCCGAUGUCGGAUUAGCUAGUUGGCGGGGUAAAGGCCCACCAAGGCGACGAUCCGUAGCUGGUCUGAGAGGGUGAUCAGCCACACUGGAACUGAGACACGGUCCAGACUCCUACGGGAGGCAGCAGUGGGGGAUAUUGGACAAUGGGCGCAAGCCUGAUCCAGCCAUACCGCGUGGGUGAAGAAGGCCUUCGGGUUGUAAAGCCCUUUUGUUGGGAAAGAAAAGCAGCAGGUUAAUACCCCGCUGUUCUGACGGUACCCAAAGAAUAAGCACCGGCUAACUUCGUG
rnacentral:rRNA from 1 species